rnacentral:pre_miRNA from 9 species
CCAUGCAUACCUAUAUCUGUGUGUGUAUAUAUAUAUGCAAACACACACAUAUAUAGGUAUGCAUGGU